CUACGGGGUGCUGCAGCGAAUCAUUUACAAUGCACGCAAGUGUGAUAAUGCGAACCAAAGUGCUUUUCGUUUAGAAAAGCUUUUCUUCACUGUAAAUAAGUGGAGGAAUAAGGACUGGGAAAGACCGGUGCCAGCCGCCGCGGUAAUACCGGCAGUUCAAGUCGCAUCCACUUUUAUUGGGUCUAAAACAUCCGUAGCUUGUCAUUUAAGUCUCUUGUGAAAUCUCAUGUCUCAAGCAUGAGGCUUGCGAGGGAUACUGGAUGGCUAGAGAUCGGUAGACGUAAGGAGUACGCGAGAGGUAGCGGUAAAAUGUGUUAAUCUUUCGUGGACUAACAAUCAGCGAAGGCACCUUACGAGGACGAAUCUGACAGUCAGGGAUGAAGGCCAGGGGCGCAAAACGGAUUAGAUACCCGAGUAGUC
rnacentral:rRNA from 1 species